AUUAUUUUAAGAUUAUUUUUUAUUGUUGAAAAAAUUAAAAAUAAAUUGUUUUUAACAAAAAUUAAAAUUUAUAAUAUUUCAUUUUUUGGUUUUUUGUUUUAAAUUAAAAUAAUAAAUAUGGGGGAAAAAAAAAUUUUGUUAUAAAUUAUAUUAGUUUAUUUUAAUUAAAAAUAUUUUUUAUUAAAUUUGUUUUUUUUAUUUUUUUAUAAAAAAUAUUAAUUUAAUUAUUAUUAUUGAGUUUAAUUUAGUUAUUUUUAAAAAAAUUUUGUAUAAAAUAAAUUUGAUAAUAAAUGUUUUUUAAAUUCUUUGGGGGUUUAGUUUAUGAUUUUUUGUUUCUGCUCAUUGUUAAAUAAAAGCACUUUUAGCGUGAUUCCAAAAGGUAA
rnacentral:rRNA from 1 species